AACUUCCCACAUAACUCAUCCAUUCGACCAGUUUCCUAUCUCACACUCCAGAGCAGAGGAAGGAACAAUCUUAGUAUUUGGAGGGACCAAGCACUCACUCAGGGUUUAUCCUGACCCACCUGCAGCCUUCUGCUCACACACACACAUUAAAUCACAGGAAAAGACAUUCAAAUGCUUUAAUUCAGAUUUUAACUUAUGACAAUAAUCUUACAGAGAAUGUGGGAACAGAAAAAUGACAUAUAUGGUUUAUAUAAUAUGGUCUGGGGGAAACCUGUUGGGACCUCAAAAAAUGAGAACCAUGGUGAAGGUUCUCAAAUCUAGACAUAACCUAUCAAAAGAAAUGUAUUUACCAGAGUUAAGUAGGCAGAAAAGCUUGCCCCAGCUUCUAAUGGCCGAGGCUGUAACAGACAAAAUUUUAGCACGCUGUAUAUAAUAACUAUUCAGUAGGUGCCCCCGCUGAUUCUCUUCUUUCCUGGAAGAGGGGAAAAAAAAAACAACACAAACAUCAGGUUCCUAAAGUUGACAUACCAAAAGCCUUAGGAAUUUAAAUUUUUGUUUCCUGCAUGGUUUGUCUCCUCAGUCAUGGUCCACGGGACUCUGAGAAGUCGUAGGAAUAUGCAGGCGCAGACUCGAAAGCCCAGCUUCAUCUCCAACGUUGUGGAAAGGGACUGUACAUCACCGGGCAAUGCCCUAAGCUCCCGUUCGCCACUAGGACAGAGCCCGGGGAGAGUGACCUCCCGGGAUAUCCACGUUGGAAUGUCUGGUUAGCACCCAAACGUUUAGUCAACUUCAACAGGCGACUACACCCCCCCCCCCCCCACACACACAGUGUAUAUCACUAAUAACGUACACAUGGAGCAGAAAGCACUAAGCCAGCCUCAGGGUGAACGUACCUCCAUCAACAAAGUACCUGAAAUCAUUGACCGGGUCUGCAAGAGAAGACUUUAAUCAUCAUGGUCCACAGGACUCUGAGAAGUCGUAGGAAUAUGCAGGCGCAGACUCGAAAGCCCAGCUUUAUCUCCAACGUUGUGGAAAGGGACUGUACAUCACCGGGCAAUGCCCUAAGCUCCCGCUCGCCACUAGGACAGAGCCCGGGGAGAGUGACCUCCCGGGAUAUCCACGUCGGAUAGUCAUGGUAAUGUCUUUUUUUUUGACAAAAUGCCACAGGGUCCUUUUGCCAGACCUCCAGCUGGAGGAAAAACCCCAAAAACGCCUGUCUCCAGAGUGCUGUGACUACAGACUUCAGCCACCUUUUCAGAUCUUGAAGCAAACAGAACACAACACCCCCAUCGGAACCAAACUAUCCAGAAAUUAUCUACCUAAAAAAGGGUCCUCUGAAAAAUGGGAGAUUAAUGAACAAAAAACUGCAGAAAUCCCGUUACAAGGUGAAGAGAAAGUAUAACUGGGAAGCAAGGCGAAAUGAUUAAGUUAAAACCGAACGCUGGAAGGCGGCUAACACUUCAAAUCACAAGGCAGGAACCAAAGACCCUGUCCUCUUAAAGUGAACAUUAAAGGAAAGUGCGUAGACC
ensembl:lincRNA Gm17300 predicted gene, 17300